rnacentral:rRNA from 1 species
CCUACGGGGGGCAGCAGUGAGGAAUAUUGGUCAAUGGGCGCGAGCCUGAACCAGCCAAGUCGCGUGAGGGAAGACGGCCCUACGGGUUGUAAACCUCUUUUGCCGGGGAGCAACGGGCGCCACGUGUGGCGCCACUGAGAGUACCCGGAGAUAAAGCAUCGGCUAACUCCGUGCCAGCAGCCGCGGUAAUACGGAGGAUGCGAGCGUUAUCCGGAUUUAUUGGGUUAAAAGGGUGCGUAGGCGGAGCGUUAAGUCAGUGGUCAAAUUGAGGGGCUCAACCCCUUCCCGCCAUUGAAACUGGCGAUCUUGAGUGGAAGAGAAGUAUGCGGAAUGCGUGGUGUAGCGGUGAAAUGCAUAGAUAUCACGCAGAACCCCGAUUGCGAAGGCAGCAUGCCGGCUUCCUACUGACGCUGAAGCACGAAGGCGUGGGGAUCGAACAGGAUUAGAUACCCGGGUAGUC